UGUGUGGCAGACCCCACCGGUGGAAAACCUUGCUGUAUGCUGUUUGUAGAGGACUGUGAGGGUGGAACACUUGAUGUGUGGAAGACCAUGAGAGUGGAAGACAAUGCUGGUGGAGCAGUAUGCUGUGUGGAAGCUCAUGAGGGUGGGACACCUGGCUGUGUGGAAGACUAUGAAGAUGGAACUCCUUGCUGUUUGGAAGAAAUGAGGCUGGGACACUGUGCUAUGUGGAAAACCAUGGAGUUGUGACACCGUGCCUCCACUAGAGGAGCUCACAGUCCCUUCCUGCCCCAGGGCCUUUGAGCGGCUGUCCCCUGGCCAGAAGGCUCGCCUCCGGGCCUUUUCCCCUGGCCUCACCCAGCGCUUUUCCUAGGCACCGGUGCACGCCCUUAGCAACUGGAGGGCGACCCGGGUCAUAAAUCUGCGUGACGCAUCAAGCGCCAGGAGAGGCCACAAAGCUGGACAUGGUGGCAGAUGCCUGUAAUCCCAGCGUUCUUCGAGGCUGAGGCAGGAGAACUGAAGUUUUGAGCCCAGGCUGUACAACUUAUCAAUUUAGCAAGACCCUGUCUCAUUUAAAAAAGGGAGGGGCAUGGAGUUACUGGGAUGAAUAUGGUUUUUCUACUGCCAGGCCUACAAUCAUGUGAUUUGGUAAAUGGGCCUCCAUACUUUUUAGGGAUCUCCCAGCGGAGCAUUGCAGGUGCCUAAGAAAGAAGAGGGGUGGAGAAGAGAAAGGCUGAGGUCUGUCGGGAUGGUGAAAGUGGUCCCUCCCUCCUCUAGUCCAACUCCAGAGAUGGCUGCUGGGAGCUGCGCCUCCCUCAUACCCUGUCUGGCCCUGGAGUGGUAGGACUGGAACAAAACGUCUUGCAGUGGAGACAGCGUUACUGGAGGUUAAGAUCUGUGCUGUCAUGCCCCAAGAACAUGGGACAAAAUCUUGGUGGAAAGGAAAGGUUUAUGCAGCUAGCUUUGAAGGAUUUGGAGGGGCUGCUUGUUGCAUUGGCUGUCCAUCUCCCUGUGUGCAGCUGUGCAAGGGGCUGGGGAGAAAUGUGGUGAGACAGGAGCCAAGGCAUUUCUGUGCGGUUGCUUCUGCACAUCCCUCCCAGGUAGAUCUGCUAGCUGUCACUUUUCUGUCUGUUCACCUGAGCUGAGGAGAGGAGAGUGUGGCAGUCUAUGCGCUCAGCAUGGGGAAGUUGCAGAAGCAGUCUAUCUUUUAAAAAAUUGUGAUUUUUAAAGAUUCAUUUUAUACCACUGGAUCCCCAGGAUCCCCAGUGGAUCCUCAGGAGCAGCUCCUGGAUCUCAGAAGAGGGCAGAGACCACAGAAGGACAGGCAACAUAGAAAUGUGGUAUGGAAUCCUUUCACCAAGAGUCCCACAUCCUCCUAAUAUGUCCAGCACUGUUAGAGAAGCAGGUGCCGAGGAGGAUUGAGAAACCAAGAGGGAAACCAUCUCUAUGCUGGGCACACAUUCUAAUGGUGAACCAAGUCUACACUGGACACAAGUUCCAGAACUGGAAUAGUGCUGGACAGCAAUGGACAUGUAGGCCACAGAGAGUGAUGUGUGGGAUGAGGGUGGAUUUUUAGGUACAUUGUACUGGGACAGUGCGAUGGAAUUGGGAAAAGACAACUCAAGAUCCACAUCUUACACUGUGUGCAGAACAAAACUGCAAUGGAGCAGAGGUCUGGAUGUGGAAGCUGUGACAGUACAACAAUCAGAGGAAAAUGGGAGAAUUGGCUAACUUCUGCACAAGGAAAGGCUUCAACCUAAGAUUCAAAGACCAUAUGCUCCAAGAGAACUUCUGGAUAUACUUGAUCGCACAAGUGUAUGCUUUAAAUAAUUGCAUGACAAAAACACCACAAGCAAAAUAAGAUAAUUGACAAAUUCAGGCAAAAUAUUCAAUGCUAAUACACAAAUGUGUGAACA